UGGCGAACGGGUGAGUAACACGUGGGUGAUCUGCCUUGCACUCUGGGAUAAGCUUGGGAAACUGGGUCUAAUACCGGAUAUGAACUGCCUUUAGUGUGGUGGUUGGAAAGUUUUUCGGUGCAAGAUGAGCUCGCGGCCUAUCAGCUUGUUGGUGGGGUAAUGGCCUACCAAGGCGUCGACGGGUAGCCGGCCUGAGAGGGUGUACGGCCACAUUGGGACUGAGAUACGGCCCAG
rnacentral:rRNA from 1 species